GGCACGCCGAGCGCCAGGUUCGGCCGAGGGCACUGCGGAUAGUAGUUGAUCUUAAGAAGGUAAACCAUGUUGUCGCCACCCAUAGCCUCCUUCAUCUCAUUCCCUUCCAGCCCUAACCCUAAUGACAGACAUCUAAACAGCUUGUUGACCACCCCAUGCAUGUGCUUUGCGUAUUCCUCGUUAUUCUUUCUGCCAUUAUCCAAAGAAAAUCAUACAUAAAUGGAAACAUCCCAUGAAAUCAAUAUAUUAUAUAGGUUAGUCCACGCAUAUAUGUGAAGGAAAAAUGUGGAUUCGAGACCUGUAAGAAGGUGGGUUUUUAGGCCAAAAUUGAUAGUUAAUUUCAGAAGGAGGCCAGAUCUUAUGGAAGAGAUGAUCAACCCAAGCUUUCUUCCCUUCAACUUCUCUUUGAAGCUUCGUUCCAUAGCCUUCAAUGGAUUGAGAUCCUGGGGACUUGGCGUAAGCUUCCUUUUCAUGUGGUGGGAGCUCGAAGAAAGCCUUUCCGACCUCUUUCAGCUUCCCUACGGUUUCACGGGGAAUGCCAUGAUUCACAACUUGGAAC
rnacentral:lncRNA from 1 species